rnacentral:lncRNA from 1 species
AAGGCAUGAAAUAUGUAUUCAAUACCUCUUAUGUAACCAAAACCAUUUUUUUUAUUAGCUUUUAAGGACUGAGAGAGCAUCAUGUUCAACUGGCACGCAGUCUGCCUGCAUUGCCAAUGAAGUCCUCAACUGUUUAAUAUUUCAAACUAAUAUUAUUUAUAAUCUAUGAAGUUAAUCUUUUUUGAAAGACAUUAAUAAUUUGAGUCUCUGAGAGGACACUUUCAAUUUCCAUGGGGGACUUAUUUGUUGGGGAUCUUAAAUAAGAUUCCUUUUGAUCUACCGGAAUAUACAUGUACAGAGCACAUUGGAUCAUGUUGGAAAGAAGGCAAGUGAAAAGGUCAGAGAUGAAGUAGCGAAGUUAUGGAAUAUCGUGGAAAGGAUACUAGUUGUGAAAUGGAAAGAGACGAGUUAUAGUACCCCAAAAGCAAAACAAGUAGGAGAUGCAAGAGAUGCCCCAAAAGGACAAAGCAACAAUUUUCUGUUACCACCUUUAUUACCGGAAGACUCUGUGGUAGAAGAAAAGAAGGUUUUGGUGCACCUUAUGUGGGAGGAGGAGGGGCAGGGCACGCUGAUGCUGAGCAUGCAGGCAGACAAGAGCGUAGCCUGCUGUUGCCUCCAUCACUAUGAAGUGACUUCUUUUUCCUGAAGGACCCAUGGUUUAUGUUCCUCUAAUUCCUUUCACUCUCCCUAAGCCCUCUGAGAGAGAUGAAGGUAGAUGAUUUUAUUGCUACUAAAUUGAAGGGAGCACUAUUUCUUUUUGUCUUUUGUUAGCUAAAAAUUGCAAAAAGAGUUGUACAUUCUUGCUUAAAAUAAAUAAAUAAAUAAAUAAAUGAUUAAAAAACAAGGGACCUAACAAAACUCAGCAGUGUUACUGUAUUUUUAAAAAAUAUUUUUAUAGACUCAUUUUCAGGUUAUUAAAUGUAAGAGAAACAGAUACCCCUCUUUUUUUAAGUAGUUAAAUCAUUGAUGAUUUAUAUUACCAAUUUUUAGAAGUAAUUUUCUAGUAAGCUUAUGGCAUUAGAAAAUACUAGAAGUUUUUUUUAGUUAAAUUAGUUAGAACAUUUAUGAAUGAAUAUAAUAAAUAUUUUUUUUCAGAAUGAAAUAUGGACCCUUUGUGUUUACUAAUAGAUAAAGCCAGAUAUAAUUUUUUUUGUUUUUAAGGCCACAAAAUACGGCCUUUGUUAAAGAACACUAAAGUUAGAAGUCUAAAGUUAGAGCAACUUUUUAAUGGCUAUUUCCUAUUAUUGUAAGUGUUAAAACCCCUGCAGAAUUCUUGAUAAGGUGCUAUUUAUACUAUAUUUCUUAUUAUAAGACAACUGUCUUUAGCCUUUUUAGUACUAGUCUUUUUAGUACUAAAUCAAUCAGUAAACAUCAUCAUUUCACCCUCAAAUUUUGUCACUGAAAAGGCAUAUCAAAUGAAAAAUAAUUUCAGAGAUCUUUCAAGAUAUUUUUUCCUGAUAUUUCCUGAUAUUUUGUUUUGAAGUAAAUACAUUGUCAAAACCUAAUUGCAAUUCUGUUAAAUCUAAGUAAUUUGUAGACAGUGUUUCACCAUAUUAUUUAGGAUGUGAAAUGCCAUUUCUUUCACUGAUUACACCAUAUACAGGAAGCAGGUAAAACAGUAAAAACUUGAUUGUGCUGGUCGAUGCCAGCUUGGUUAAAAAGCUCUCUGCAGAAGUGAUCUAGAAUGACAGAAGUGUUGCUAAUUACAAGAUGUGUUCUCAUGAUGUAAUUAGAAAGUAACUUCUCAAAGUACAACUUUUAUGAAAAAAAUAAGCUGUUAGAAAAAGGAAAUCGUAGGUUAAUUUAAUUGGGAGAAUGGGCAAUUGACAGAGACCAUUUUCCUAACACAUAUAUGUGCUAGUACUUUAACUUUUUAAAAUUUUACUUCUAUGUUUUGUAAUAUAAAGAUUUCUAUUUUAAGUUUAGAAUGUUAUGCGUACCAAAAGUAUGCAGCCAAAUCGAUCAGAUCAAACCAUUUUACCUGGAGUUUGGUACUGGUUUUUACUUCUGUGAUUCUGUGUAAGAAAAAUAAAGACAAUUGAACUUCCA